AUACGGAGGAUGCAAGCGUUAUCCGGAUUUAUUGGGUUUAAAGGGUGCGUAGGCGGUUUGCUAAGCGGGAGGUGAAAUGCCGGCGCUCAACGUCGGAAGUGCCUCCCGAACUGGUGGACUUGAAUGACUCUGCCGUGGGAGGAAUGUGUAGUGUAGCGGUGAAAUGCUUAGAGAUUACACAGAACACCGAUUGCGAAGGCAUCUCACGAAGGGUUGAUUGACGCUGAGGCACGAAAGCGUGGGGAUCAAACAGGAUUAGAUACCCUGGUAGUCCACGCAGUAAACGAUGAUGGCUAACCGCUGGGCUUAUCAGUUCAGUGGCCAAGCGAAAGCGAUAAGCCAUCCACCUGGGGAGUACGACCGCAAGAAUGAAACUCAAAGGAAUUGACGGGG
rnacentral:rRNA from 1 species